AUACCCUGGUAGUCCACGCCGUAAACGAUGUCGACUUGGAGGUUGUGCCCUUGAGGCGUGGCUUCCGGAGCUAACGCGUUAAGUCGACCGCCUGGGGAGUACGGCCGCAAGGUUAAAACUCAAAUGAAUUGACGGGGGCCCGCACAAGCGGUGGAGCAUGUGGUUUAAUUCGAUGCAACGCGAAGAACCUUACCUGGUCUUGACAUCCACGGAAGUUUUCAGAGAUGAGAAUGUGCCUUCGGGAACCGUGAGACAGGUGCUGCAUGGCUGUCGUCAGCUCGUGUUGUGAAAUGUUGGGUUAAGUCCCGCAACGAGCGCAACCCUUAUCCUUUGUUGCCAGCGGUCCGGCCGGGAACUCAAAGGAGACUGCCAGUGAUAAACUGGAGGAAGGUGGGGAUGACGUCAAGUCAUCAUGGCCCUUACGACCAGGGCUACACACGUGCUACAAUGGCG
rnacentral:rRNA from 1 species